rnacentral:lncRNA from 1 species
AGACGAGCUAUUAAAUGCAUACGGGCUUAUUUUAAAGCUACGUCCUUGCAUUUUAAUCAAGCUGAGUUCCUUCAAGCUCUUUAAGUCUGAAAAUGUAUUUGUAUGCAGUUGAUUUAUGUUGAGGCCGUUUAAAAACAAUCGUUUUAAUGAUUGUAGGCAUCUAAAUUUGUCUUUCAUGUCGGCAAAUGAUUGCAGUUGAGUAUAUGAAAGAUGUAAUAUCUUUAACUGAAAAAGGCCUUCAUCACAAAACGCAGGGAUUUCCGAUAACGGGUUGUCGCCCAGAUGUAACCAAGUUAAGCUAGAGAGUCCUUUUAGAUUCAAAUUUUGGCUUGAUAUUCUAUUCCAGUUUAUGUCUAGUCUGAACAACUCUUUUAAUUGUGCAAACCAUGUUACAUUUAAUGUUUCAAUAUCAUUGUUGGUCAUGGAAAUUUCAUGAAUCUUGCACCCUUUAAGUCCACUAAACAUGCCGUCAAAGGGUUUGAGUUUCAUGCUUUUUAAUACCAAUGUAUUUAUGUAACGUUUCGAUAGGCU